UAUCACAAGGAGACUACUCUGUUUCCUGAUCAAAACUAGUAGUAACUAGCAAGUCAGCCCAGCGUUAAGGCGCCAUUCUUCAAGAUGAAAUAGGAAAAGGUGACAAAAGCAUAAAGAGAUGACAAAAGGUACAAUGAAGAAAGUGGAACAAAAACAAGUUCUAAAGACCAGAAGCAAUGGGUUUCCAUUUUAUUCCAUUCUCUACAUUCUGUGUGACCUUCAACAAAUAACUACCAUGAUUCCUCAAAAUUGUUCUCCCUAAUCUACAGAAGGAAGAAGCAACAUUUGUCAACAUGGCAGCAGAGAAGCCGCAAGCCAGGGAGAACUGUUUUUGUAUAAAACAAAUAACUUAAGCAGUGCAGGAGUGGUUUUGAAUAAAGCUGCCAUAUGAACGGCCGCAAAGUGCAAAAUGCAGGUUGAAUCUGUGGAUGCAGAAACCACAGAUCCAAAGGACUAAGUAUCAGCAGAUAAUUAAUGAUACCAUGGAAAACUGCUCUCUCCUCACACCACAGGAGCAGUAACUUCAGACCCAGGCUACAAGGAUCCUCUUCCAUUGAAGACAUUUUUUAUUUAAUCUGCUUGGUUUCAAUGCCAGUCGAUCUGAAAUCCACACGAGGAACCUGGCUGUGUCAACAUGCAGAUGUGAAAUGACUCAGAGAGCAAACAGCAGGAGGAAGAAGGAAAUGAAAAGGGAGGGGGUGAGAAAGGAGAGAGAAAAGAAGAAAAAUAAACUGGA